rnacentral:rRNA from 1 species
AGGGUUCGAUUCUGGCUCAGGAUGAACGCUAGCUACAGGCUUAACACAUGCAAGUCGAGGGGCAGCAUGGUCUUAGCUUGCUAAGAUUGAUGGCGACCGGCGCACGGGUGAGUAACGCGUAUCCAACCUUCCCUAUAGUAGGGGAUAGCCCGUAGAAAUGCGGAUUAAUACCCUAUGUUGUAUUUUUGAGGACAUCUGACGAAUACCAAAGGUUCACCGCUAUAGGAUGGGGAUGCGUCUGAUUAGGUAGUCGGCGGGGUAACGGCCCACCGAGCCAACGAUCAGUAGGGGUUCUGAGAGGAAGGUCCCCCACAUUGGAACUGAGACACGGUCCAAACUCCUACGGGAGGCAGCAGUGAGGAAUAUUGGUCAAUGGGCGAGAGCCUGAACCAGCCAAGUAGCGUGCAGGAUGACGGCCCUAUGGGUUGUAAACUGCUUUUAUGCGGGGAUAAAGUGGGGACGUGUCCCUUAUUGUAGGUACCGCAUGAAUAAGGACCGGCUAAUUCCGUGCCAGCAGCUGC